AUUGAACGCUGGCUGCAGGCCUAACACAUGCAAGUCGAGCGGAUGAAGAGAGCUUGCUCUCUGAUUUAGCGGCGGACGGGUGAGUAAUGCCUAGGAAUCUGCCUGGUCGUGGGGGAUAACGUUCCGAAAGGAACGCUAAUACCGCAUACGUCCUACGGGAGAAAGCAGGGGACCUUCGGGCCUUUCGCUAUCAGAUGAGCCUAGGUCGGAUUAGCUAGUUGGUGAGGUAAGGGCUCACCAAGGCGACGAUCCGUAACGGGUCUGAGAGGAUGAUCAGUCACACUGGAACUGAGACACGGUCCAGACUCCUACGGGAGGCAGCAGUGGGGAAUAUUGGACAAUGGGCGAAAGCCUGAUCCAGCCAUGCCGCGUGUGUGAAGAAGGUCUUCGGAUUGUAAAGCACUUUAAGUUGGGAGGAAGGGCAGUAAGUUAAUACCUUGCUGUUUUGACGUUACCGACAGAAUAAGCACCGGCUAACUUCGUGCCAGCCGCCGCGGUAAUAC
rnacentral:rRNA from 1 species